CCCCGGGUGGCGUGCGGGCGCGCCGGGACCCUCGGCAAGGGUACGGGGGCGGGCGCUCCGCCCCGACCGCCUUCGGACGGCGUACGGGGC
rnacentral:tRNA from 1 species